GACGAACGCUGGCGGCGUGCUUAACACAUGCAAGUCGAACGGAAAGGCCCUGCUUGCAGGGUACUCGAGUGGCGAACGGGUGAGUAACACGUGGGUGAUCUGCCCUGCACUUCGGGAUAAGCCUGGGAAACUGGGUCUAAUACCGGAUAGGAGCCAUUUUUAGUGUGAUGGUUGGAAAGUUUUUUCGGUGUCGGAUGAGCUCGCGGCCUAUCAGCUUGUUGGUGGGGUAAUGGCCUACCAAGGCGGCGACGGGUAGCCGGCCUGAGAGGGUGGACGGCCACAUUGGGACUGAGAUACGGCCCAGUCUCCUACGGGAGGCAGCAGUGGGGAAUAUUGCACAAUGGGCGCAAGCCUGAUGCAGCGACGCCGCGUGGGGGAUGACGGCCUUCGGGUUGUAAACUCCUUUCGCUAGGGACGAAGCUUUUUGUGACGGUACCUAGAUAAGAAGCACCGGCUAACUACGUGCCAGCAGCCGCCGUAA
rnacentral:rRNA from 1 species